rnacentral:lncRNA from 1 species
CCUGAGUUCAUCCAGAGCCUGAAGAAGCCAUUGGUUCUAUGCCCGAAUGCCUGUAUAUAUGAUGGGACAGUGAAUCUGGGUGCUUUCUGUGCUCCAUGUGGAGAAGGUGAAGCAGUCACUCUUGUCAUCUCUCUAAAGAACUGAGUUGGAGCGCGUCUUUGGAUAGGAGCCGUGCUGCUGCUGACUGGGGAAGAGGUGUGGUCUAAUGGUGACUGAGCCUGCCAGAAUUUUGAAACAGACAGGUGUCCAGAUCAUCUUGGCUCAUCUGGAUUUUGGAUGCUUUGUCACUGAGAAGAUUAGGAAGAUGAGGCUCAGAAAAAUGAAGUGACAUACCUCUGAGUGAGGCAAAGCUGAGUCUGGUGACUCCAAACCGCAGUGAGCUGCUGCAUCCCUGGUGAUGAGACGGGCUUCCUGCUUUCAUACAAAGCUCUCGAGUCUUCUCCAAAGAGUACACCCAAGACCUUGCCCGGUAAAACUGGAUGACUUUCCUCAGGCAUAGGAAAGGUAACAUUCCAGGAAUGGAGGUUGAAGUCAAGAGAUUUAGGGGCACCAAGGGCAAACUUUCUACUUCACAGAUUUUCAAAGGACUGGCAUUCUGAGCAGCAUCAAGUAUGUUAGUAGCUGAGCCCAUUCGUGGUACUUCAUAAACACUCGAAUUCUUGAGACCCUCAUGUUCCACUCUUCUACAGUAUAUAGUUGGUUAAAAGUCCCCAUUUUUCUGGUAAUAGCAUUCUUGGAAAUUGUGCUUUGAGAUCAGUCCUUCUGGGAAAGGCAUAACCUACUGAAGAGGUACUGAGAAGAGUUGAAACCAUAAAUGUCGAGCUUACCCAGGAGAGUAAGUAUAAACCGCUUGCAUCUUUCAGGCUGAAUUAUAGCUUAUCAAGCACACAUUAAAACUUUAAGCCUUUUUUUCCUUAAGUAAGAAUAAAUCUAAGUUGACUAUUCCAGCAUAUGUAUUUGUUUUCCCUACACUGUCUAUAAACCAUGUCCAAGGUGAGUAUUUAUAAGCCUGAGCGAAAACUAGACAAACAAUUCUGAGAAUAAGUGACAACUAUAACAGUUCGUGAUAAGACAGUCACAACAAAGGAAAUGCUAUGCAUUAAGUGAUUUUUCUUGCAAAUCCUUUAUACAUAUGUCAGGCUGUGUGCUGGCAGAGUGAAAGAGAAUAAAUCAAAGGGAAUACACGUGUAAGAAAGGGUUUUUAGGCAAACGCUGUCUUGCAUGCAUAAAUCAAAUAAAUAGUGAUUUAAAAAAAAACCCAAAGGAACAGGAUAGUUUCUAUGGAAUUUUACACAAUUAAGUUAUUUAGUAGUUGCACAACAAUUUGUAUUUAUGGAGCACUUUACAAUUAUUUGUUCAUUAAAUCUUAUGACAUUUCUGGCAAGCAGGUCUAUACCAUCAGUUUAAUUUUAUAGUCAAGGUAGAUGAAGCAAGGAAUUGUAAAGGAGCUUUCUGAAGGUUGCACAGCUAGGUUUGAGCAGGACUUACUUUAGAACUCUUGCUUCCACAAUCUUGAGUUGCAGUCCUGGGUGGAUGUUCAGUUGCCUCUUAGCUCCCUUCUAGAGGAGGGAUGAGUCAUGAGGCAUACCUGGACAUCCAGAGAAGGGUGUUUGUUAAAGGCAGUAGCUCCUGGCAGUUAAUCUAGAAGCACCAGUGUUUGGUAUUGGCAUUAGCAUUGCAGCUGGAAUAUGGACCCAUUGGCAUGUUGACACAUGUGUAUAUGAUACAAACACUCAUCUGCAAUAGAGCCUCAUUUGAGAUGUUCAUAUUGGUAGUCUAAAGCUGUAAUUAGCCCAGGGCAUGAUACCUGGCAGGGGGGUGUGCUUUAAAAAUAAACUAAUGCCCCAGGAUGAAUUGAAUCUAUGAGACUAGGGCUUGGACAGGGAUAUUUUCAAAGAGUGACCAGGUUUUUCUGACUUGUGGUCAGAGUUGAGAACCACUGGUAUAAAAAUCCUUCCAUGUCUGUAGCAGUUUGGCAGUUUGUUCACUGCAAAAAGACAGAUGACGGAGCGACUAGUGAGGGCUCAAACUCAGCUCACACACAGUGUGCCCUAAUUUUGAGGUGGCUUUUGUUCUCAGAAAAAGUGUCACCUAUUGUCUAAUUCCCACCAAGGAAGCCCCAAGUCAUUCCCUUACUCUUGUAUAUGCAUUAUUGUAUAUCCUACGUAUUUCAUUUUCAGCUUAUUUUCACUCCUGCAUGCUUAGAACUUGAUAUACAAGAGGAUACAGCAACAAAACCAUCACAGUCUUGUCCCUAUAGAGUCCACAGUCUGUUGAGAAGAAAAGCGACAGAACAGGGAGCUCCACAACAUGGGAAGUGCUCCAGUAGGCAUGAGUGCAAGAAGCUGGGGAGGACAUUGGAUGGGCACUCCACCCAGACCUGGGGCACCAAGGGACCUUGUAAUGGAGGUGGUAUAAAAGGGAAGGAGUAGCAUUCAUAGCUGAAUGGCAGCAUUUGAAAAAACCUGGAAUUGAGAGACACUGAGGAUUACUGGGGAACUGGCAGUGGUUCAGCCCUUCCUGAUGGAGGGUGGAGGGAAUAAAAGCUGGAGGGGGAGCUGGGAGUGCAGCAAGUUGUCCCAGUCUUCCAACAGCUGGGAUGGCCACUUGCAAGCCUAAUUACUGUACUGGGCUCCUCAGUCUUAUCUUUCUCUUUCCAUCUUUCCUCUCUCCCUAGGUCCCACCUUCUUUUCAGAUACAGUCCUGAAAAGAAGAGCAGAAAGCACCAAUUCCAAGUGUACUCUACUUCCUGUAAUCUCCAGCUCUAGGUACUGAAAAGAAACAAAAAGCUUGGUAGCAGGCAAAGGAACAAACACUUGUAGGGAUGCAGAUGUCCCUGCCUCACUUGGUGCCACCUGGAAAAACCUCUAAUUGGCUCAAAUCCCUCCUUUCUUACCACUUUUAAUUGAUAUGCCUGGUCCUGAACUCACAUUCAACAUUCCCAUCCUAAUUCCUGGACUGGUGGGGGUGGCAUGGAGGUGGAAAAUGGGGUGGUAUGAAUGAAACAUGCUUGGGCAUGAACUCAUGAAAUUACUGAAGCUGGUGGUGAGUACAUGAGCAUUGACUAUACUAGCUCCUCUAUUUCUGAUUACGUUUGAAAUUUUCUAUUAUAAAACAAAGAAAAAC